rnacentral:rRNA from 1 species
GGCUCAGAACGAACGCUGGCGGCGUGCUUAACACAUGCAAGUCGAACGCGAAAGGGGACUUCGGUCCUGAGUAAAGUGGCGCACGGGUGAGUAACGCGUAGAUAACCUGUCUUCAUGUCUGGAAUAAUACGCCAAAGGGGUACUAAUACCGGAUAUUCUUGCUUUUCAUAAGUUAUGCAAGCAAAGGUGGCCUCUGCAUAUGCUACUGCAUGAAGAGGGGUCUGCGUACCAUUAGCUAGUAGGUGGGGUAAUGGCCUACCUAGGCGACGAUGGUUAGCGGGUCUGAGAGGAUGAUCCGCCACACUGGCACUGGAACACGGGCCAGACUCCUACGGGAGGCAGCAGUGAGGAAUAUUGCGCAAUGGGGGAAACCCUGACGCAGCGACGCCGCGUGAAGUGAGGAAGGCCUUCGGGUCGUAAAGCUCUGUCAAGAGGAAAGAAGUGUACAAUGGCUAAUACCUGUUGUAUUUGACGGUACCUCUAAAGGAAGCACCGGCUAACUCCGUGCCAGCCGCGGC